GGGCAAUUGGUUUAGUGGUACAAUACCUCCUUAGCAUCCGAUUUCUAUUGGAAUUAACAAUUUGGGGUGGCCGGGAGUUCGAUUCCCUGAUUGUCCA